CCUACGGGCGGCAGCAGUGAGGAAUAUUGGUCAAUGGACGAGAGUCUGAACCAGCCAAGUAGCGUGAAGGAUGACUGCCCUCUGGGUUGUAAACUUCUUUUAUAUGGGAAUAAAUUGUUCCACGUGUGGGAUUUUGUAUGUACCAUACGAAUAAGGAUCGGCUAACUCCGUGCCAGCAGCCGCGGUAAUACGGAGGAUCCGAGCGUUAUUCGGAUUUAUUGGGUUUAAAGGGAGCGUAGGUGGAUUGUUAAGUCAGUUGUGAAAGUCUGCGGCUCAACCGUAAAAUUGCAGUUGAAACUGGCAGUCUUGAGUACAGUAGAGGUGGGCGGAAUUCGAGGUGUAGCGGUGAAAUGCUUAGAGAUCACGAAGAACUCCGAUUGCGAAGGCAGCCCACUGGACUGCAACUGACACUGAGGCGCGAAAGUGUGGGUAGCAAACAGGAUUAGAUACCCUUGUAGUC
rnacentral:rRNA from 1 species